UUAAAUUAGAAUAAACAAAGGUCAUUAAAGUGUAGAAUCAGUAAAACGUCCUAGUAAUCUAUUAUAUAACAUAAUACGAGUAUUAACUUUAACCGCCGUGUAACGGAGGUGGUCUCCAUUACUAAUGGAACUCCUCAGCGCCUCAAUUUGUUAAAUAACACAACCCAUAACCAUACUUUAAAGUAACUUUAUUUUACAGGUUUAAAUAACUGACUCACCUCAUGUGCUCCAGUUGGUUUGGUAAAGAGAGUGACCUCACAAUCAGGCGCCAUUUUGAAGGCUCUGGCCUCAACUACUGAUUAAUGGGAGUAGGGGAGUUUGUAGUGGGUUCGGUAUUUAAUUUGGAGUUAUAUUAUUGUUUGGUGGAAUAGGAGGAGUGCAAUACCACAGAUUAUUGAGUAUUGUUUGUUUGUAUUAUGUUUAUGUAUUUGUGUGAUUUAUUUCUUAUGUGUAUGAGUGUUUGAGUUUAGAGCUUCCCUAUGCAGCCAGUGGAGGAGUCUGGACCGGGCAGGCACAAUAUAAAAGGACUCCCUCGUUACCAGAGAAGGGCAGGAAGGCUGCUGCACAGGGGCUGUGGCCGUGGCCCGCUUGUAAUUUAGUUUCAUUUUGUGAUAAUUUGUUUGAUUUAGCCUUAUGUUGUUCACCGGGUGAAAAUUAAAGUACCUCUUCGCACCAUCUCUGCCUUGCUCAUACUGUGUCUCCAUCCGCUAAAUGGUCGUUCCAACACGCCACAACACAAUCAGUAUAUGAUGUUAAAAAUGGGAGCCAGUAUCACCGCUUUAACCCGUUAUAUUGCCUGAUUAUCCUGAGUCCUCCUUGAAAAAAAAGUAAGGUAGAAAGUAGAAGGUGUUAAGGUUCUAGUAUCAGACAAAAGUAUCAGCUAGUCAUCCCGAGCCCGGAUCUUCGACAGACAUAGAGACAGCGGCAUGAUUCAAGGUAGAGCUCUGGUGGAAUGCAAAGGGUUUUUAUUUCUCUGCUUUUCCCCAAAACAUGUGCUAACAAAUUUCACUCGCACAGCUCCAGCAUCUCACAUGGCCCAUGGAGGGUGUUUACUAGAGAGCCAACGACUCCGUAAGUAUGCCUUCUCUUUUCAAAUUGGUGAUUAUUAGACUUCAGAACUCUUUUUAAAAAAUAUUUCUUUUGUCAUCGUCAGAUUGCCUUGUGCUACACAGUCACCAGAGCCAACAUUUUUCCCUACAGCAGUGGCAUUCAGGAGCUGAAAAAGCCUUCAACGCCUUCCCGAACAGACCGGUUCUUAGAUACAUCAGUCAGAGACGCAGAGAUUCAUCAUCAACUGCCACGGACCAAACUCGACAUAUCAGACGAGGCACUCCUGGAAGACAGGCUUAAGCUCUUUUCGAACCCAGAAGGCAGCGGGGGCGUCGCCGAUGCUCACAAUUUUUUUUAAAUGGGCAUAUUCUUUUGAGCGCCAUGGUGAUGUUUUAAUGCAGGGAUCUAAACUGAUACUGUUCACAGAGCCUUAUUAUAACCUCAAAUGUAUAGAUUCAUUAAGUUUUUUGCCUUUUUCACUGGCCUCCCUGUCAAAAGCUCUGGGCUUCGAGGAUGCUGUAAAGGGCCUAAAAGCUACGGGAAUCAGAUGCAAGGGGGCAAAGUGAAGGUUAAAGUCAAGGGCAUCACACAGACAUUUAAAUGUUGUCGGCACAUCAAUGUCAACUCUGUUAAAGCUUUGGUGGAAAACUAUAAGACAAACAAGAUGGAAAUCCUGACCACGCCGCAACACAACAUUGCCCAAGACAAAAAGACUUGUUUUAAAAAACGUCUAUUCGACAAGAAAUUCAGAGUUGUGUUUGACAAAUGACGAUUGCUGCCUGGAGGGACUAGCAAGCCUUUUGGCUAUUAAUGCCAUGGAGGAGGUGGGGGAGGGCUUUGUCCCGGAGUUAAAAGCUCAGUUUUCAUGUCUUAUAGCAGGCCCCAGCAGGGCAGGUAAAAAUUCUUUUGUAAGAAAGGUUUUUGGAAAACUGUAACUAUGUGACCAAUGUUGUGUCUGAUAAUAUUUUAUGGAUAUAUACGUCUUUUCAACCAAUGUACAAGGAAUUGCAGAG